GUAGGUGGCAAGCGUUGUCCGGAAUUAUUGGGCGUAAAGCGCGCGCAGGCGGUCCUUUAAGUCUGAUGUGAAAGCCCGCGGCUCAACCGUGGAGGGUCAUUGGAAACUGGGGGACUUGAGUACAGAAGAGGAAAGCGGAAUUCCAAGUGUAGUGGUGAAAUGCGUAGAGAUUUGGAGGAACACCAGUGGCGAAGGCGGCUUUCUGGUCUGUAACUGACGCUGAGGCGCGAAAGCGUGGGGAGCAAACAGGAUUAGAUACCCUGGUAGUCCACGCCGUAAACGAUGAGUGCUAAGUGUUAGGGGGUUUCCCGCCCCCCUUAGUGCUGCAGCUAACGCAUUAAGCACUCCGCCUGGGGAGUACGGCCGCAAGGCUG
rnacentral:rRNA from 1 species